rnacentral:rRNA from 1 species
GACGAACGCUGGCGGCGUGCCUAAUACAUGCAAGUCGAACGAACCGCGACUAGGUGCUUGCACUUGGUCAAGGUGAGUGGCGAACGGGUGAGUAACACGUGGGUAACCUACCUCAUAGUGGGGGAUAACAGUCGGAAACGACUGCUAAUACCGCAUAGGGCAUAGGAUCACAUGAUCCAGUGAGGAAAGGUGGCGCAAGCUAUCGCUAAGAGAUGGACCCGCGGUGCAUUAGCUAGUUGGUAGGGUAAAGGCCUACCAAGGCGAUGAUGCAUAGCCGACCUGAGAGGGUGAUCGGCCACAUUGGGACUGAGACACGGCCCAAACUCCUACGGGAGGCAGCAGUAGGGAAUCUUCCGCAAUGGACGCAAGUCUGACGGAGCAACGCCGCGUGAGUGAAGAAGGUCUUCGGAUCGUAAAGCUCUGUUGUUAGAGAAGAACAGCGCAUAGAGUAACUGUUAUGCGUGUGACGGUAUCUAACCAGAAAGCCACGGCUAACUACGUG